rnacentral:rRNA from 1 species
GUAGGAGGCGAGCGUUAUCCGGAUUUACUGGGCGUAAAGCGCGUGCAGGCGGUUUCUUAAGUCGGACGUGAAAGCUCCUGGCUCAACUGGGAGAGGUCGUUCGAAACUAGGGAACUUGAGGAUGGUAGAGGAGAGUGGAAUUCCCGGUGUAGUGGUGAAAUGCGUAGAUAUCGGGAGGAACACCAGUGGCGAAGGCGGCUCUCUGGGCUAUUCCUGACGCUAAGACGCGAAAGCUAGGGGAGAGAACGGGAUUAGAAACCCCGGUAUUCCUAGCCGUAAACGAUGUCAACUAGGUGUAGGGGGUAUCCCAACCCCCCCCUGUGCUGUAGCUAACGCGUUAAGUUGACCGCCUGGGGACUACGGCCGCAAGGCUAA